rnacentral:tRNA from 1 species
AGUUUAAUCACUUUUGGUUAGAGCAUCUGACUCAUAAUCAGAGGGUCCUUGGUUCGAGCCCAAGUGGGACCA